CUGCGAUAAGUAAUGUGAAUUGCAGAAUUUUGUGAAUCAUCGAAUCUUUGAACGCACAUUGCGCCUUUUGGUAUUCCAAAAGGCAUACCUGUUUGAGAGUCAUUUCUUCCUCAAUCCUCGGAUUGGUGUUGACUCGAGCGUUGCGAAACGCUGAGUCGAAAAGAAUUGGCAGGCAGGAAUUCAGUGCUUUACAGUGUCUUAGGUUUUACCAACUACGCUGGCCUAGUAACUGUUUUCUGAGCUGGCCUUUAUAACAGUUCUUUUAAAAGUUUGACCUCAAAUCAGGCAAGACUACCCGCUGAACUUAA
rnacentral:misc_RNA from 1 species